ACGGUGACGUUCUACUCACAUUGUUCUUGCACACUUUAGAUUUGGUGUUUGUGGUGUCCUGUGUCUGCUCAGAUUGGUUUGUUUUCAGUUACAGUUCAAGUUGUAUUCACAGAAGUAAUAGGAAAAUGCAAUCUUAGCACUAUAGGUGUGCAUUGCCACCGAGCUCUCUCCCUGCCAGUGACGCCAAGAGGUCACGUUGUCCGUGCGGCACGGGCAGGACUGGUGCCAGAUCUGUGGUCAUGUCCACAGGCUCUUGGGUAUUUCUGUCCAACAGAACUGAAAGCAGGUCCCUUCCCCGGGCUGCUGUGCGAUUGGAGUGCUGCUGUCGCUGAUGAAACCUGUCUGUUUUCAUUUUAAGCAAUAAGAGAUUGAUUGAGUAGAAUCAACUGUCAAAAGGGAAGAUUGGUGUAAGUGUUGUCAUUCGUGUGUUCUCUAAGAAUAUACUUAUUCUGAGGACUUUCAACCUAGGUGAUGAUGAGGACUGUGCAUAGGCUUACCUAAGGAGAGUUUGGAUUGUAUACAUUUUUAUAAAAAAGCAUUUACUUACAAUGGUAUUUUUGGAUAUGGGUGGAAUUUGCUGCAUAAAUGACAUUGGAAAAUUAUUAUACCAUUAUGGAACGUCGAAAAUGUUUCAACCAAAUCAUUCUAAGAACAAAAAUGGAGACUUUAUAUGUAUCUGUGGUUCACUUUGAACUCAUACCAUUUUCUAUUUUUCUGCUGUUUUGCGUAGUCACUGUUCUUUUCUGUAACUGCAGUUUUGUGGAGGAUUGUUCAAGCCUCAGUCAGUAGAUAAGGAAAUAGGUAACUCCCUUUAGUUUCAUUAGUGGAGUGCACAUGGUUUUGUUCCGCAAAGGAUUCUCAGUGUGUUAUUCCUCUGGAGCCCCAAGAGAACCAUUCCCCAGCUGCGGAGAGCUCCCGCUGGGAUUAAUGUGGGCCACUCGGGGCCAAGAAUGGGACUCAUCACACAUAGCAGCAGCUAAGGGAAGGCAUGACCUGCUCUGCCGUAUCACCACUGGUGUUUUAGCCUGAACUUAGAAACCUUUGCCACAGUUUUUUCACUUCACAGUGUGAAGUAUUGUCAAGUCUAAGACGACAGCGGUAGGUGUGAGGCACUUGUACCUGCUGUUCCAAGUUCAGUUAGUCGUUCUCUUCCCCCAUGGUUUUUUCCAUUAAGCUUUCCUUUGGAGUGCCUUCUUCAGCCCUUGCCCUGGGACCAUGGGUGACCUCCUGUAGCAUCUUUGUGGAGUGAUUUAAAAGCAAAACUACUCAUGCCCCAUAACUGCUCUUAAAGUGCAGCUAUUGAAAAACACCUUCAAAAUGCUUCAGAUAACGGGAAUGCAAUUUACCUUUUGUCCCUGUUAGCAUGGAAAAGUAGGAGUGGCAUUUUAGCACAGAAAGUGCUUGGAUUGGAGAGUGGAUGGUAGGUUUUGUGAAACGUGCUUUGUGUGAGUAUUCUGGGGGCAAGGUGAGUGACAACCAAACUGGGCAUGACGUUUCCUUACUGCCAUCAGUGCUGGGGUUUGGUUUAAGAAGGUAGCACAGGGGGAGCAUGCUGCCUUCAGGGUGUUUGAGGCCAUCUGCGAGUGAAAGCUGCAGAGCAGGUUGUCUACAGAAGGACAAAUGUCAUUAUUUCAGCAGUGUUUGAAAGGGGAAAAAUGAAAAAAGCUAAGGCAGAAACAGGCUUCAAGAAACACCUUUUUUUCCGUGGUCUUGUUUGAUGGAGAUGGGCCCCGUGUAUUUGGAGUUCAAUUUCUGUGUGUUGUACAACAUUCAACAGAAAAUAGUCACCAAGAGCAAAGGUACUUCAAAAACAAAACCCCCUUUGUUUCAACUGUGUGCAUUGGUUCAAAAAGAUUUUUUUUUUUCUAAAUAAAGUAAUUAAAGUGACUUACGAACUGACUUGUAAACGUGUGUAUUGCACCUGACUACAAUGAGUCCAGAGUGCACAAAGGCACUUUAUGCUCUGGGAACUGUACUGGAAGAUAAACGAAAGCAUGUGAAAUUGCACCUGACGCUGUCAUGAAUUGUUUUUCAAACCUAAAGUUCUGCAUUUCUUAUGCUUGAUGGAUGAAUGUAUCAAGUCUGGUCUCAGUUUCUCUGAUGGAAGAGUCUAAUGCCGUCACUCCGACUCCUCUGAUUUUUGUGUUGGACUGUAAUUUCAUUUGCUAUCUUUGCCAUUAUUGGACUGCAGGGGGUAUUGUUAAUAUUACAUGUCUUUAUUUUAUAGAAUAUUGUACUAUGCUAUCUACCAACUUUUGUAAUUUAAUUCUCAUUGAUACUUAGGGUAAUUCUAAUAGCUGUAUAUUUGGCAAAAUAUUAAAAUUUUCUGCAAGUGAUUU
ensembl:lncRNA